rnacentral:rRNA from 1 species
UUAAGCAUAUCAAUAAGCGGAGGAAAAGAAACUAACAAGGAUUCCCCUAGUAACGGCGAGUGAAGCGGGAAGAGCUCAAAUUUGUAAUCUGGCGGCCUGUGGCCGUCCGAGUUGUAGUCUGGAGAAGCGUUUUCUGCGUCGGACCGUGUACAAGUCCCUUGGAACAGGGCGUCACAGAGGGUGAGAAUCCCGUCUUUGACACGGACUGCCGGUGCUUUGUGAUGCGCUCUCGAAGAGUCGAGUUGUUUGGGAAUGCAGCUCAAAACGGGUGGUAAAUUCCAUCUAAAGCUAAAUAUUGGCGAAAGACCGAUAGCGAACAAGUACCGUGAGGGAAAGAUGAAAAGCACUUUGGAAAGAGAGUUAAACAGUACGUGAAAUUGUUGAAAGGGAAACGUUUGAAGUCAGUCGCGUCUCUCGGGACUCAGCCUUGCCUUUCCGCUUGGUGUACUUCCUGGGAUGACGGGCCAGCAUCGAUUUUGACCGUCGGAGAAAGGCCUUGGGAACGUGGCACCUUCGGGUGUGUUAUAGCCCUUGGUCGCAUGCGACGGUUGGGAUCGAGGACCGCAGCACGCCGUUUAUCGGCCGGGGUUCGCCCACGUGUACCGUGCUUAGGAUGCUGGCGUAAUGGCUUUAAGCGACCCGUCU